CCUGGCUUAGGAUAAAGAGUACAG
rnacentral:piRNA from 1 species